GUGUGGUUUUCUGCAGAGUCCACUCUGUGUUCUGCAGACUCUGAGGAUAAAGGAUUGCAGGUUGUCAGAGAUCAGCUGUUCUUCUCUGGCCUCAGCUCUGAAGUCCAACCCCUCCCACCUGAAGGAGCUCCACCUGAGUCGCAACCAUCUGCAGUCUCCAGCUGUGCAGCAGCUGGUUGCUCUCCAGCAGAGUCCAGACUGCAGCCUGCAGACUCUGAGGUGGAAGAACUGAGAGCAGAGAGGAGGCUGGAUUGUCUCUCGCUGUCCAGGAGGUCUCCGCUGAUGUCGCAGCCAACGUAAAAGUCCCUCACGCACAUUUAAUAAACUUACUGUUUCAUACAAACAGGAGAAAUAUUGCUUGGAACUCGGUGUGUGUCUCACUUUGCCAGCUUUCACUGCGACAAGAAGGUGCUUUAAUUGACAUUCACCCAGAAACACUCAAACAAAAUGACACACAAAUGCAAAGAUUGCCUAUAGUCAAAGAAAUUGUACUCCAACAAGAUUUUAUCCAUAGUCUUUGAAACAUCCCCAAUUAAUUUAUCCCCUCUGUACUUAAAGGGAUACUUCAACAUUUUGGCAAAUUGGCCCAUUUAGCGCAAUUCCUUAGUCGUUUCCAACAGCAUACUUACUUUUUUUGUGAGGGCGAGCUAUUGUUUAUCCAGAGGUGAGUCG